GCCGAUGUUCUGACUCUACAGACUUCUUCGAUCGUCGGCAUUUUAGAGUUACUAAACGACAACCGAUCUCCGACACAUAGUCUGCUGACUCAUUCAAAUAUAUCAUAACCAUCACGAAUGGUUACUCCACAGAUAUCGCGACGUAAUUCAUGGGGACUAAUAACCCAUUAUGAGAUUACCAUCCUGUGAUUCUACGCCGCUAAAUGCAGGAUCAUAUCCGACGAUUACGACGAUCUACUCUAUAAAAAGAGAAUAAGGCAAC
rnacentral:lncRNA from 1 species